rnacentral:rRNA from 1 species
GACGAACGCUGGCGGCGUGCUUAACACAUGCAAGUCGAACGGUGAAGCGCCUUCCUUUUUGGUGGGUGUGGAUGAGUGGCGAACGGGUGAGUAACACGUGAGUAACCUGCCCCCUUCUUCUGGAUAACCGCAUGAAAGUGUGGCUAAUACGGGAUAUUCUGGGUCUGUCGCAUGAUGGGUCUGGGAAAGAUAUUGUUUCGGUGGGGGAUGGGCUCGCGGCCUAUCAGCUUGUUGGUGGGGUGAUGGCCUACCAAGGCGGUGACGGGUAGCCGGCCUGAGAGGGCGGACGGUCACACUGGGACUGAGACACGGCCCAGACUCCUACGGGAGGCAGCAGUGGGGAAUAUUGCACAAUGGGCGCAAGCCUGAUGCAGCGACGCCGCGUGAGGGAUGGAGGCCUGCGGGUUGUGAACCUCUUUCGCCAGUGAAGCAGGCCUGCCUCGUUUGUGGGUGGGUUGACGGUAGCUGGAUAAGAAGCGCCGGCUAACUACGUG